GAUGAACGCUGGCGGCGUGCCUAAUACAUGCAAGUCGAGCGAACGGACGAGAAGCUUGCUUCUCUGAUGUUAGCGGCGGACGGGUGAGUAACACGUGGAUCACCUACCUAUAAGACUGGGAUAACUUCGGGAAACCGUAGCUUAUACCGGAUAAUAUUUUGAACCGCAUGGUUGAAAAGUGAAAGACGGUCUUGCUGUCACUUCUAGAUGGAUCCGCGCUGCAUUAGCUAGUUGGUAAGGUAACGGCUUACCAAGGCAACGAUGCAUAGCCGAGCGGAGAGGGUGAUCGCCCACCUUGGAAGGGGGACACGGACCAGACUCCUGCGAGAGGCAGCAGUAGGGAAUCGGAGGCAAUAGGGGAAAGCCUGACGGAGCAAGGCCACGUGAGUGAUGAAGGUCUUCGGAUCGUAAUACCGGGUUAUGAGUGAAAAACAGAUGUGGAAGGAAAUGAGGCGAGCUUGACGGUACCUGAUCAGAAAGCCACGGCUAACUACGUG
rnacentral:rRNA from 1 species